AGUGAACGCUGGCGGUAGGCCUUACACAUGCAAGUCGAACGGCAGCACAGUAAGAGCUUGCUCUUACGGGUGGCGAGUGGCGGACGGGUGAGGAAUACAUCGGAAUCUACCUUUUCGUGGGGGAUAACGUAGGGAAACUUACGCUAAUACCGCAUACGACCUACGGGUGAAAGCAGGGGAUCUUCGGACCUUGCGCGAUUGAAUGAGCCGAUGUCGGAUUAGCUAGUUGGCGGGGUAAAGGCCCACCAAGGCGACGAUCCGUAGCUGGUCUGAGAGGAUGAUCAGCCACACUGGAACUGAGACACGGUCCAGACUCCUACGGGAGGCAGCAGUGGGGAAUAUUGGACAAAGGGCGCAAGCCUGAUCCAGCCAUACCGCGUGGGUGAAGAAGGCCUUCGGGUUGUAAAGCCCUUUUGUUGGGAAAGAAAAGCAGCAGGUUAAUACCCCGCUGUUCUGACGGUACCCAAAGAAUAAGCACCGGCUAACUUCGUG
rnacentral:rRNA from 1 species